GCACAACAAGUCUCUCACUUAUAUGCUCCCUCUUCCUCCAAACAUUUUUUAUGAGUUGGAGUCAGUUGGAGCACAGGAAGAUUUCUCAACUCCACCCUACUUAUAUUUCUUUUACCUGUGUCUUUCAGCACUUGAAUUUGAAAAGCUCCACAAAGGUCCAGGAUUACUCUCUGGACUGGCUGAACAAGUCAGAAUCUUGACCAGAAACUAAGGACCCCAAGCUGCACUUCCAAAACAAUGGCAGAGUGCACUCAUGAUGACGACCCCGCCAAGGUGGUCUGCAAUCCAAAUGUAGACAUUAAGGACUCAAGUGAAGGUUCAGCUGAUUCUGCACCGAUGGCAGCAGUCAAAGUUAGACCUGCGGAUUUGGGGCUGAUUCGAAGCUUGUCCAAGUCGGACUCUGACUUGCUGGCGUCGCCACUUGGGGAGGAUGAUGGAGUUCUGGCUGUCCGCAGUGGAUCUGUGUCUAACUGCAGCUCUGGGCAGCCAUCCAUGGAGCGCAUGCCUUCCUUUGCCUCAGAGUGGGAUGAGAUUGAGAAGAUCAUGAACUUGAUUGGAGCAGGCAUUGAAACAUCCAAAAAGAGACAGCCCACACGAAGCUCAGAUGGGGCCUGUGGUAAAGCCCUGGACCAGCCGGUGGGAGAGUGGCUGGAGCACGUGGGGCUGCCGCAGUACGAGAGCAAGUUCCUGCUCAAUGGUUUCGACGACCUACGAUUCAUGGGAAGUAACGUGAUGGAGGACCAGGAUCUCAGAGACAUUGGGAUCACUGACCCAGGACACAGAAAGAAAAUCCUCCAUGCAGCACGCAGCUUGCCCAAGGUAAAAGCACUGGGCUGUGAUGGCAGCACAUCUCUCGCCUCCUGGUUGGAUGGCCUCGGCCUGCAUGAAUAUCUGCCCAACUUUCUGUCAAGUGGCUACCGCACACUGGAGUGUGUUAAGAACCUGUGGGAGCUGGAGAUUGUCAAUGUUAUUAAAAUUAGUGCCCUGGGACACAGGAAGAGGAUCAUUGCCUCUCUUGCAGAGAGACCCUAUGAAGAAGCUCCUACCAAGUCCCGUCGUCUGUCUCCAAUUAUGUUCCACGACCUUCUGUCCCAGACCACAUCUCCCCUCAGUCAGAUGGAUCCCUACACCAGUCGCUCCAUGGACAUGCUCCUGCCCUUGACUGAGUCGGACCGGAGGCGGAGAGGACUUGAACAAGACUGCAGUGUUUCUCUACGUUCAUUUAGUGAGAGGCCACGCUCUGUAGACAGACAGAGUGAAAGACACAAAGACUCUCGUUUAAACCUCCGGCCACCGAGCCACUCUGCUACCUACGCCACGGUGUCUGCCUGGCAUCACCAGCCUGAGAAACUCAUCCUGGACUCCUGUGGGUACGAGGCAACUUACCUAGGAUCAAUGAUAAUCAGGGAUCUACGAGGGAUUGAGUCCACACAAGAUGCCUGUGCUAAAAUUAGGAAAUCAAAGGAUUCAAGAAAGGGUCCAGUUGUCAUACUAUCCAUUACCUAUAGAGGGGUCAAGUUCAUUGAUGCAGCCACGAAGACUAUAGUUGCGGAGCAUGAGAUUAGGAACAUCUCGUGUGCUGCUCAGGAUCCAGAUGACCUCUGCACUUUUGCUUAUAUUACCAAGGAUCUAAAAAGUGGCCACCACUUCUGUCACGUCUUCAGUACUGUGGAAGUGACACAGACCUACGAGAUCAUCCUCACGCUGGGACAGGCAUUUGAGGUGGCCUAUCAGAUGGCAGUCCAGUCCAGGGCGAGACACUAUGUCCCACCUUCAUCUCUGGGCUCAGAGGUCAUAGAGACCAAAACCAGCCGUCCUGUUUCUCAGUCGUGGAGCAGCGUGCGGAGAUCAGCAAUCGACCCCCUGGAGAUGGACGCAGACAUGCAGUCCCUGGGCAGCACCACAUGGCUUUUGGACCAGCGUGACUCCAACAGGCGCCCUGUCAGCACCAAGUAUGAGACCACCAUAUUCUGAGGCCGGAUCCCCACAGCUGCCCCUCUGCACCCCCUCGUACUUCCCCCUCCCCCUCUGCAUAUGGUUCUUUAUUUAUCUCUCACGCACACACACAUAUAAAUAUACAUGCGAGCCCCGUGCCUUCUCACUGUGAUGGUAUAGCAUCCCUCAGGGCCGCCUACUCCUGCACCCUCCUUUGCCCCGCCCUGCGACCCACACCAACCUCUUAACCCACCAUGACAAACACUCCUGCGGCUCUCCUGUGCCUCCCCAACACCCCUGGCAGCCUCCCUCUCCUGUUGCUGCUGCAGCCAAUGGCGGAGCCCUGGAACGGACGAUCCUGGACUGAUGUCAUUUUACAGUGGCCCUGCUCUCGCAACCAAACUGCCUCUUCCUCCUCAUCCUCCUCCUCCUGACAACUUGCAUCUGCCUCCAAAUCCCCGAUAGCUCCCAGAGCUUGUCCUGUCUUACCAGGCAUCUACCACUGUGAGGCACAAUGAGGAGGCUGCUUUGCUUGCAUGGGAUGCAAGACGGACAGUCAAUCAGUGAAAGACAAAACAGCGAAAUGCAGCAAACAACCUUUUUGUUUUUCUAAGCAUUUGUACAAAACUCAUAAUAACACGAUGGAUCAGUCAUGAAUCUGUCAUCGAUGUCUGAACUCAAAUGGACCAAGAACUGAACCCUCACACACACACAGGAGGACAACUUUACAACACGUUACCGAGGACAACAGCCUUACUUCAUUUCGAUUAUCUAUAAUCAACUAAAGCCCCCCAUCUUUCCCCAACCUUCCUGAAUAUUACCGCCACCGCCCAACAACUGCACGCCUCCUAAUGCUUCUAAAAGACUAAAAAAAAAAAAGAAAAGAACAAAAAAAAGAAAAAGCUUCUAAUUUCCUGGUGUGUUAAACUGACUGUGACUGGCUGGGAUGACGACAUUCUUAUAAUGGCACAGAUUUGUCCAGAUGAGAGUCUUUGCUCUGGCCUUGUACUGCCCUGUCUGCAGUCUCUCAGCAUUCAUCGUAGCAAAUGAGAGACUGCAAACCACAGCAUCUUCUUGUCAAUUUAAGAAAACGAAUCACUGUGUUAAAACAUGGCACUAUCCCUUUUAAUACCGUCUUUUCUUUUACUACAAUGCAAGUAGGACAGUUUGAGCAUUUUAUGAUACUUUUUGAUAGAUGGGUGCUGACUGAAAUACUUUGGGGGAGAGUGAUUAAGGAGGGAUCAUGAAGGAUCCCAGCAUUGAUACAACCAGAGGCAAAAAAAUAAGAGAUACCGCCAAAAACAGAAAAAAAAAAGAAAGAAAGAAAAGAAAAAUACACAAGCAGCGUGAGUGUACUGACAUUUGUUCCACAUUUUGCAAUUUUGGUAAUCUAAACAAAAAAAAACAUCCUGAACACGAUAUCAUUUAACUCGAGUAUGUAUUAACGCACAAUUUGGCACACACCUCCCAACAUAGCAUCUUAUUAUCAUGAUUACAUGGGUAGGUAUCUGUGCUGUUUCGCACCAAUUUAGAAUUAGGUACACUACAUGCAAAGUAUGCCACUUGAAAAUAAACGGCAGUGAAAUGAUUUAAUUCCACCACAUUAAAAGAGCCAAAUCUAAGUGUUGCUCUGGUGUCGCGUUAAUGCGAAAGGAUUUGUUAUGCUGAGAACAUGACACAGUUUUGUUGUUUUUUGUAAGAAUUACUCUCCUGCACUGUGAUUAAAAAAUGCUUGUUGUGGAGUCGACACGUAUCUGUGGGUUCUCCCCUGUGUGCACUACCUACUGUGCGUGCUGUAUGCCUUGUCUGUCUGUCCUCAUGGGAGUUUGGGACUGUUAUCGUUACAUCACCGUCCACUGUCCUUGUUUGUGUGUGCUGCAGGAGAAGUGAGAUACUGAGCUCCUCUCCAGAAGACAGUGUGGCUGCAGACUGACUGUUAAGUUGUAACUGUGCGGUACCGUGGCUGUGUCAUCGCCACUCUGUUCUGACUGUUAACUGUUAGCUUCCACUGACGAUGCAUGUUGGCAGUGUUUUUUUGUGUUUUGUACCUUUUGAUGCACUUGGCCUGAGCAGUCUUUGUAUGUACUGAAGCAGUGUCUCGUCUCUUCUCACCCAUCUGCCAUUUGCUUUUUAUGUUCCCUCUCUUCUUUACACGCCAACACAGCGAUUCAUCUUCAUCCCUCCACUUUUCUGUUAUCGUCACUCCUCCAACAUUUUGUCACGUAUGUUCUUCCAUUUUGUGUGUCACCAAGACAACCUGCUCUAGUAUGAAUGCAUAAUGUAAAAGCAUUACACUUUAAUGAGCAGCAGCUAUUUAAAGCAAGUUUUGGUGGCAUGAUAUGGCUGUGCAUGAGUCUUUCUUAACAUUGGUGUUUUCCUUGUGUAGCUCACCCCAGCGUUCAAGUUUCCGGAUACCAAGCUGUGAGUUGAAGGGGAGCAGCCCAUGUGAGUGUGUUUGAGUGUGUUGAGUUAGUGGGCAGAGCAGCGGAAAAGAAAUAUAGAAAGAAAAUGAGAGGUAAGCCUUAUGCAAUGUGCAGGGCCAAACCAGCGUUACUCUGACUUUCAGUUCUCACUCUGUAUAUGCCCUGCUCCUCCUCUACCCUGAUAUGAAUCCUGACACACAGACGAAAGGUAACAUGUUGUCCCACAUCACUGGCUAAACAGAGCCUGUGUAUCACUCCUGUCUUGAGAGAGGUCAGAAAGGUCAACUCUAUUUCCUGGCCUCUAUGUGACUUUCUGAUCUUGUCAUGUAGGUACUGUAAUGUUUAGAGCACUGUAGACCAUUAAUGAUAUAGACCAUUUAAGAGAAUUUCUACUGAUUCAGGUCUGCUGGAGAUAGUAACAAGGAAUUAUUAAGGGUUAACGGAAAUGUAAUAAAAUGUAGAGAUUAAAAAAAACUGUACCAGCAUACAAUGCUUUGCCCAUGUUUGUGGACAGAGUUUGGUUUGUCAAAGAAAAUGUGAUACUGUUUCAAAUUUCAAAGCAAUAUUAUAUUAAUGAAUUAAAUAAUACAAUGACAAAAGAAUCCCUCUCAAGUCUGUUGUCAGCUUUCAGUUUGUUCUAAGGUUGAGCAGCAGAACACAGAAAGAAACAAUACACCAGCUGUCUGAAAUUUGAAAGGACAAAUAUACUAUUGGUGUUUUCUGUGCCACAGGGAUUAGUGGGUGGUGCAAUUUCUAAUCUCAACGAUUAGUCCCAGUUUGUGCCUAUCAUGUGUUAAAUUACAGUCAUGUCCCACAACUAAGCAUCAGAUUUUGUUCCUGAUGACAACAGAUCAUUAUUGCUGUUUGCAUUUCUAGAAUCCGCAAAACCAAUUAGAGAACAAAAAAAGAAAACGUGUGGUGCAUGAUAGAAAGACUUUCAACCCAUGUCCAGUUGACUCUCCUAAACAAAAAAGCAGGAAAUGACAUAGGUCCUUGCUUGAUCUGAACAACAUGAAGAAACUGUCCAUUAAUUUGUUUAUAAUAAUGUUACUUGUCCUGACAUAUUUUUGCAGAAUAAUUCAUUGGUAUAUUUCUUUUGGCAAACUGAAUAAGCAAGGAAAUAUAUUACCUACUGGUCUCAUACCUUGACUGUAAAUCAAGUUGCAGUUUGGGAAAUUGGUUAAAAAUAAUUUUUAUGCUGCAGCAGACUAAAUAUUUUUAUUCAUAUGUUUAGAGGAUCUUUGAUGGUUCUGAAAGUACCUUCAAAACAGCAGAAAGUGUUGUUCAAAGGCUACAGGUUUUCAAAAGAUUUCCACGAAUUUAUCUAGCUUACUUCUGUUUUUCAUCCCGUCCACUCAGAGCUUUUAGCUAAGCUAACCACGCACCCUGUGGUUUUGCAUGCU